rnacentral:rRNA from 1 species
GACGAACGCUGGCGGCGUGCUUAACACAUGCAAGUCGAACGGUAAGGCCCUUCGGGGUACACGAGUGGCGAACGGGUGAGUAACACGUGGGUGAUCUGCCCUGCACUUCGGGAUAAGCCUGGGAAACUGGGUCUAAUACCGGAUAGGACCACUGCCUGCAUGGGUGGUGGUGGAAAGCUUUUGCGGUGUGGGAUGGGCCCGCGGCCUAUCAGCUUGUUGGUGGGGGGAUGGCCUACCAAGGCGACGACGGGUAGCCGGCCUGAGAGGGUGACCGGCCACACUGGGACUGAGAUACGGCCCAGACUCCUACGGGGGGCAGCAGUGGGGAAUAUUGCAAAAUGGGCGCAAGCCUGAUGCAGCGACGCCGCGUGAGGGAUGACGGCCUUCGGGUUGUAAACCUCUUUCAGCACCGACGAAGCGCAAGUGACGGUAGGUGCAGAAGAAGGACCGGCCAACUACGUGCCAGCCGCCGCCGUAACAC